GGUGGCCUAAGUGGUGUGAGCGUCCGCCAUUGAUGCGGAGGUUGCGGGUUCGAACCCCGACUGAGCCA